rnacentral:rRNA from 1 species
CGUCUUGGUUAUUGAUGUUAGAUGCUUGCAUUUAACUGAUUUAACAUUGAGACGAGUGGCGAACUGGUGAGUAACACGUGGGUAACCUGCCCUUGAAGUAGGGGAUAACACUUGGAAACAGGUGCUAAUACCGUAUAACAACCAAAACCACCUGGUUUUGGUUUAAAAGAUGGCUUCGGCUAUCACUUUAGGAUGGACCCGCGGCGUAUUAGCUUGUUGGUAAGGUAACGGCCUACCAAGGCAAUGAUACGUAGCCGACCUGAGAGGGUAAUCGGCCACAUUGGGACUGAGACACGGCCCAAACUCCUACGGGAGGCAGCAGUAGGGAAUCUUCCACAAUGGACGAAAGUCUGAUGGAGCAACGCCGCGUGAGUGAUGAAGGGUUUCGGCUCGUAAAACUCUGUUGUUGGAGAAGAACAGGUGUGAGAGUAACUGUUCACAUCUUGACGGUAUCCAACCAGAAAGCCACGGCUAACUACGUGCCAGCAGCCGCGGUAAUACGUAGGUGGCAAGCGUUGUCCGGAUUUAUUGGGCGUAAAGCGAGCGCAGGCGGUUUCUUAGGUCUGAUGUGAGAGCCUUCGGCUUAACCGGAGAAGUGCAUCGGAAACCAGGAGACUUGAGUGCAGAAGAGGACAGUGGAACUCCAUGUGUAGCGGUGAAAUGCGUAGAUAUAUGGAAGAACACCAGUGGCGAAGGCGGCUGUCUGGUCUGUAACUGACGCUGAGGCUCGAAAGCAUGGGUAGCGAACAGGAUUAGAUACCCUGGUAGUCCAUGCCGUAAACGAUGAGUGCUAAGUGUUGGAGGGUUUCCGCCCUUCAGUGCUGCAGCUAACGCAUUAAGCACUCCGCCUGGGGAG